rnacentral:snRNA from 1 species
CUCAGAACCUUCUGUUAUU